rnacentral:rRNA from 1 species
GCCGAUAGGCAUAGUCGAUGGACAACAGGUUAAUAUUCCUGUACCAGUUAAGGAGGACGGAGAGAUGUGGUAGCUACGUGCGGACGGAAGUGCACGUUGAGCCUAGUCUUCGGACAAAGCGAAGCUAUAAAGUCUCUUCCUAGAAAAGCCCUUAACAUUAAGCCCGUACCGCAAACCGACACAGGCAGCCGGGAUGAAGAUUCUAAGGAGCUCGAGUGAUUCACGGUUAAGGAACUCGGCAAAUUAACCCUGUAACUUCGGGAAAAGGGGUGCCCCAGAAAUGGGGCCGCAGUGAAAUGGCUCAGGCGACUGUUUAACAAAAACACAUGGCUAUGCUAAAUCGAAAGAUGAUGUAUAUGGCCUGACACCUGCCCGGUGCUGGAAGGUUAAGAGGGGAUGUUAGCGCAAGCGAAGCAUUGAAUCGAAGCCCCAGUAAACGGCGGCCGUAACAAUAACGGUCCUAAGGUAGCGAAAUUCCUUGUCGGGUAAGUUCCGACCUGCACGAAUGGUGUAACGAUCUGAGCACUGUCUCAACCGUGAGCUCGGUGAAAUUGUGGUCUCGGUGAAGACGCCGGGUACUCGCAUCGGGACGGAAAGACCCCGUGCACCUUUACUAUAGCUUUACAUUGAGUUUGGGUAAAUAAUGUGUAGGAUAGGUGGGAGACUUUGAAGCAGUGUCGCUAGGCAUUGUGGAGUCAACCUUGAAAUACCACCCUUUAUUUACUUGGAUUCUAACCCUUUUAAGGGAACAGUGUAUGGUGGGUAGUUUGACUGGGGUGGUCGCCUCCAAAAAAGUAUCGGAGGCUUCCAAAGGUCUGCUCAGCACGCUUGGUAACCGUGCGUAGAGUGCAAUAGCAUAAGCAGGCUUAACUGUAAGGCUAACAAGCCGAGCAGAGACGAAAGUCGGGUAUAGUGAUCCGGUGGUUCUGUAUGGAAGGGCCAUCGCUCAUAGGAUAAAAGGUACGCCGGGAUAACAGGCUGAUCUCCCCCAAGAGCUCACAUCGACGGGGAGGUUUGGCACCUCGAUGUCGGCUCGUCACAUCCUGGGGCUGGAGAAGGUCCCAAGGGUUCGGCUGUUCGCCGAUUAAAGUGGCACGCGAGCUGGGUUCAGAACGUCGUGAGACAGUUCGGUCCCUAUCUGAUGCGAGCGUUAGAAGUUUGAGAGGAUCUGACCUUAGUACGAGAGGACCGGGUCGGACGUACCUCUGGUGUAUCUGUUGUGGCGCCAGCUGCAUUGCAGAGUAGCUAUGUACGGACAAGAUAAGCGCUGAAAGCAUCUAAGCGCGAAACUUACCUCGAGAUGAGACUUCUUUAUAAGGGUCGUAGAAGAUGACUACGUUGAUAGGCUGUAGAUGUAAGAUGGUAACAUCAAAGUCAAGCAGUACUAAUUACCCGA